rnacentral:rRNA from 1 species
AGAGUUUGAUCCUGGCUCAGAUUGAACGCUGGCGGCAGGCCUAACACAUGCAAGUCGAACGGUAACAGGAAGAAGCUUGCUUCUUUGCUGACGAGUGGCGGACGGGUGAGUAAUGUCUGGGAAACUGCCUGAUGGAGGGGGAUAACUACUGGAAACGGUAGCUAAUACCGCAUAACGUCGCAAGACCAAAGAGGGGGACCUUCGGGCCUCUUGCCAUCGGAUGUGCCCAGAUGGGAUUAGCUUGUUGGUGGGGUAACGGCUCACCAAGGCGACGAUCCCUAGCUGGUCUGAGAGGAUGACCAGCCACACUGGAACUGAGACACGGUCCAGACUCCUACGGGAGGCAGCAGUGGGGAAUAUUGCACAAUGGGCGCAAGCCUGAUGCAGCCAUGCCGCGUGUAUGAAGAAGGCCUUCGGGUUGUAAAGUACUUUCAGCGGGGAGGAAGGGAGUAAAGUUAAUACCUUUACUCAUUGACGUUACCCGCAGAAUAAGCAUCGGCUAACUCCGUGCCAGCAGCCGCGGUAAUACGGAGGAUGCGAGCGUUAUCCGGAUUCAUUGGGUUUAAAGGGUGCGUAGGCUGUGCGUUAAGUCAGGGGUGAAAUGCCGGUGCUCAACACUGGACCUGCCCUUGAUACUGGCGCGCUGGAGUGCGGAUGCCGUUGGAGGAAUGAGUGGUGUAGCGGUGAAAUGCUUAGAUAUCACUCAGAACACCGAUUGCGAAGGCAUCUGACGAAUCCGUAACUGACGCUGAGGCACGAAAGCGUGGGGAUAGAACAGGAUUAGAUACCCUGGUAUUCCACGCCGUAAACGAUGAUGGCUAACCGCCGGCGAUAGACAGUCGGUGGCCAAGCGAAAGCGAUAAGCCAUCCACCUGGGGAGUACGUCGGCAACGAUGAAACUCAAAGGAAUUGACGGGGGCCCGCACAAGCGGAGGAACAUGUGGUUUAAUUCGAUGAUACGCGAGGAACCUUACCCGGGCUCGAACGGCUGGUGAAGAGAUCCAGAGAUGGUGACGCCCUUCGGGGCACCAGUCGAGGUGCUGCAUGGUUGUCGUCAGCUCGUGCCGUGAGGUGUCGGCUCAAGUGCCAUAACGAGCGCAACCCUUGUCACUAGUUACCAGCGGGCUAUGCCGGGGACUCUAGUGAGACUGCCACCGCAAGGUGUGAGGAGGGGGGGGAUGACGUCAAAUCAGCACGGCCCUUACGUCCGGGGCGACACACGUGUUACAAUGGCGGCCACAGAGGGAUGCUACCUGGCGACAGGAUGCGGAUCUCGAAAAGCCGUCCCAGUUCGGACUGGAGUCUGCAACCCGACUCCACGAAGUUGGAUUCGCUAGUAAUCGCGCAUCAGCCAUGGCGCGGUGAAUACGUUCCCGGGCCUUGCACACACCGCCCGUCAAG